GGGGGGGGGGGGGGGGGGGGGGGGGGGGGGCAGGGCGGGGGGACGGAGGGGGGGGUUGCGGCUCUGACGGUAGCGGCGGACGGGGGAGUAACACGUGGAUAACCUACCUAUAAGACUGGGAUAACUGCGGGAAACCGGAGCUAAUACCGGAUAAUAUAUUGAACCGCAUGGGUCAUUAGUGAAAGACGGUUUUGCUGUCACUUAUAGAUGGAUCCGCGCCGCAUUAGCUAGUUGGUCAGGUAACGGCUUACCAAGGCAACGAUGCGUAGCCGACCUGAGCGGGGGGUCGGCCACACGGGAACGGAGACGCGGUCCAGAGUCCUACGGGAGGCAGCAGUAGGGAAUCUGCCGCAAUGGGCGAAAGCCUGACGGAGCAACGCCGCGUGAGUGAUGAAGGUGUUCGGAUCGUAAAACUCUGUUAUGAGGGAAGAACAAAUGUGUAAGUAACUAUGCACGUCUUGACGGUACCUAAUCAGAAAGCCACGGCUAACUACGUG
rnacentral:rRNA from 1 species